rnacentral:rRNA from 1 species
ACCGAGAUCAUUACGUAUCGGAUUACUGGGCGUAAGCGUGUGUAGGCGGUUCGGAAGAAAGAUGUGAAAUCCCAGGGCUCAACCUUGGAACUGCAUUUUUAACUGCCGAGCUAGAGUAUGUCAGAGGGGGGUAGAAUUCCACGUGUAGCAGUGAAAUGCGUAGAUAUGUGGAGGAAUACCGAUGGCGAAGGCAGCCCCCUGGGAUAAUACUGACGCUCAGACACGAAAGCGUGGGGAGCAAACAGGAUUAGAUACCCCGGUAGUCCCU